GACAGAGGCCUCGAGCGUUAGGCGGAAUCACUGGGCUUAAAGCGUGUGUAGGCGGAAGAGUAAGUACCUUGUGAAAUCCCACGGCUCAACCGUGGAACUGCUGGGUAUACUGGUUGUCUUGAGCCAGCUAGGGGCGAGCGGAACAGACGGUGGAGCGGUGAAAUGCGUAGAUAUCGUCUGGAACGCCGAAGGUGAAAACAGCUCGCUGGGGGUGCACUGACACUGAGACACGAAAGCCAGGGGAGCGAACGGG
rnacentral:rRNA from 1 species